CCUAGAAGAAGAAAGAGGAGGAGAGUACAAUUACCGAUACGUAGGGAGGUUAUUUGUUUGUUCAAAUGGAAGAGUGAACAAUAGCAUUUGCGUUUUUUUUCUUCCCUUCAUGUCUCCAGAGUUUGAAAAUAUGCAUCUCAUAAUGGUGGUGAACUUCAACAGACCUGUACUGCCCAUGCUAUGAUUGUGCAGUUUGCCUUUCACAAUUUCAGUGCAAAUGGGGAAGAGAUAGAUCAGAAAACAAACACCAGACUUGAGCUAUAUAUGGAGAGGCACUAAAUAUCUCAAUUUGAUUGAAAGGUAUUUUACUUGCUGUUAGCUAUUAAGUUUUGUUUAUGUCAAUAGUUGCUGCAAAUUUCAGUCUUUUAUUUUUUUGCAGCUCAUCUGUAUUUUAAUUACUAACAGCCAAACAUAAUAUAUAGGCAUUGGAGAUCAAGCCUUUGCAUUUGAAGGUAUUUAAAUUUUAUUAUAUUUCUGUAUGUUGUGAAUAUAGAACUGAUAGAAGUAUCGUGAGUUUAUCUUUUUGUUCUUUUUUUUUUUUACUGAUUUUGUUAAUAAUGACAAUAGGAGUAAUGAACUUAAUUUGUGUUGUUUUUGUAAGAGAUCAUGUUUUUAUGUAGUUGACUUCUUGAUAGAUCUAUGGUGCUGCAGAAUGAUUUGGCUUUAAAGUCUACGAGCUGUAUGGAGUAUGGAAAACUAUAGUUUGGUUUAAUACAAAGGCCAUAUGAUAUAUUACAUUUGGAGAUUUUGUAAAGUACACUGCAACUUCAAAGUUUUGAUUUGUUCUGUACUUUGAUAUAGUUGACAAUGGCCAAGGCGCCUAAAGAUGUA